GACAGAGGGUGCAAACGUUGUUCGGAAUUACUGGGCGUAAAGCGCGUGUAGGCGGCUUUGCAAGUCGGAUGUGAAAUCCCGCGGCUCAACCGUGGAAGUGCACCCGAAACUGCAUCGCUAGAGUAUCGGAGAGGAAAGUGGAAUGCUUGGUGUAGAGGUGAAAUUCGUAGAUAUCAAGCGGAACACCGGUGGCGAAGGCGGCUUUCUGGACGAUUACUGACGCUGAGACGCGAAAGCGUGGGUAGCAAACAGC
rnacentral:rRNA from 1 species